rnacentral:rRNA from 1 species
GACGAACGCUGGCGGCGUGCCUAACACAUGCAAGUCGAACGGGUUCUUUUAAGAAGCUUGCUUCUUGGCUGAACUAGUGGCGGACGGGUGAGUAACACGUGAGCAAUCUGCCCAUAAGAGGGGGAUAACGUCUGGAAACGGACGCUAAUACCGCAUAACAUGCAAGGCCGGCAUCGGCAAUGCAUCAGAGGAGAAAUCCGCUUAUGGAUGAGCUCGCGCCAGAUUAGAUAGUUGGCGGGGUAACGGCCCACCAAGUCGACGAUCGGUAGCCGGACUGAGAGGUUGAACGGCCACAUUGGGACUGAGACACGGCCCAGACUCCUACGGGAGGCAGCAGUGGGGAAUAUUGGGCAAUGGGGGAAACCCUGACCCAGCAACGCCGCGUGAGUGAAGACGGCCUUCGGGUUGUAAAGCUCUGUCAACGGGGACGAUAAUGACGGUACCCGUGGAGGAAGCCACGGCUAACUACGUGCCAGCCGCCGCCGUAAAAC